AUUUUAAUGUUAGUGCUUUAUAGACAUGGUAAUAUUUUAAAAAUAAUCUAUAUUUUAAUAUUUAUUUUUAACAAUUUUUCGGUGGGUGAAAUAGUUGAAUUUGUCCACGCUGUACUUUAAAAAAUAAAGACUUGGACUUUUUACCUAAUUCUUCGUCUUCGACUUUUUUCCCAACUAUUUGUGGUUUGCCUCCCUUGUCCUAAACUUCCAUUUGAUCUAAUCCUCCAUAACGUCCUCGAAUACACCCGCUGUCAUAUCAAAACUGGGUAACGGGCAUGUUAAUUAUAUUUUUAACUCAGUUAAGUUAAAUAUUAUUUAGCAAUAAUUAAUUUAUAAAAUUAAGUAGAUAAAUAAAGUAGAAUAAGCUACCUAUUAGUCAUAAACUUUUAUUCAAAGUAUCUAUUAUAACUACAGAUAGGUAAUACCUACCUAAGUAAUAACCAAGUAAGUAUUAUGAAUAUAAUUUGAGAUUGUGGCUAUUGUCCCCUCUCCUUAUUUCCUCGUAUCCGUCUAUUUUCAGAAGAAUUCUUACAGCGUUUAAUUCCCCUCUCCUCACGACACGUUUGUC